GACCUGGGUGGUUCCAUCAGCCUGGCAGUCUUUCUCUAGGCUGCCUGGCUUACCAGCUGAUAGGAGGCCUGAAUAAACAGUUCUUGGAUCACUGAAAUAACCUGAUCCUUAUUCAGCCCACCUGACAGGCCAUUGGCUGAGCUGCUUCCUUCUCAGAUCUCCUUGAUGGGAGAGAAGGCAUGUUUCCCCAGGUGGUUGGCUUUGUUGCUGGCUGUCUUCCUCAGUUAUCUGAAGAACUGGGCUACUAGUCCUGUCUGCUGAGGGGCAGGAGAUACACUACAUUGCCUGGAUUAGUUAAUGGCAACCUUCCUGGGGCUAUCCAGAAAGCUAGGCAGCUCAGCCAGUAGCCACCCAGCUGGUACAAUCUUGAGGGUAUAGCACGUAUGUGGCAAGUACUUCUGAGCAUCUUCCUUCCGUUUUUUCCGGACUCUCUCUACUUCUUUAUAAAGGAGUCUUUGGUUCCCAGAAAGGCAGCUGUUGAGAAAUAAGACUGGGG
rnacentral:lncRNA from 1 species